GACAGAGGUGCCGAGCGUUAGGCGGAAUCACUGGGCUUAAAGCGUGUGUAGGCGGACUUCUAAGUACCUUGUGAAAUCCCACGGCUCAACCGUGGAACUGCUUGGUAUACUGGUCGUCUUGAGCCAUCUAGGGGCUGUCGGAACAAAUGGUGGAGCGGUGAAAUGCGUAGAUAUCAUUUGGAACGCCAAUGGUGAAAACAGGUCGCUGGGGCUGUGCUGACGCUGAGACACGAAAGCCAGGGGAGCAAACGGG
rnacentral:rRNA from 1 species